CUGGGUUUCAGAGUUUUGAGAACUAGAGCGAUUUCCUCGGCCUCGAUGGGUGUUUCCAGCAUGGCUUGUGCCUGGUUGGAGAGGGAGGGUAGAUUGAGGGGGCGUAGAAAGGAGGAGAUGGCCUCUGAUUGAUCCGUACCUCUCGUGGGUAUCGUGGCGGCGUGGUUGUAUAAGUUAGUGUAGUAUUGCAGGAAUUCUUGGG